rnacentral:rRNA from 1 species
AUUGAACGCUGGCGGCAUGCCUUACACAUGCAAGUCGAACGGUAACAGGUCUUCGGAUGCUGACGAGUGGCGAACGGGUGAGUAAUACAUCGGAACGUGCCCGAUCGUGGGGGAUAACGCAGCGAAAGCUGUGCUAAUACCGCAUACGAUCUACGGAUGAAAGCGGGGGAUCGCAAGACCUCGCGCGGACGGAGCGGCCGAUGGCAGAUUAGGUAGUUGGUGGGGUAAAGGCUCACCAAGCCUUCGAUCUGUAGCUGGUCUGAGAGGACGACCAGCCACACUGGGACUGAGACACGGCCCAGACUCCUACGGGAGGCAGCAGUGGGGAAUUUUGGACAAUGGGCGCAAGCCUGAUCCAGCCAUGCCGCGUGCAGGAUGAAGGCCUUCGGGUUGUAAACUGCUUUUGUACGGAACGAAAAGGUCUGCCUUAAUACGGCGGGCCCAUGACGGUACCGUAAGAAUAAGCACCGGCUAACUACGUG